rnacentral:rRNA from 1 species
UAAGUAGACAGUGAAAUCUGGUGGCUCAACCAUUCAGACUGUUGUCUAAACUGCUAAGCUCGAGAAUGUUAGGGUGGCUGGAAUUUCUAGUGUAGGAGUGAAAUCCGUAGAUAUUAGAAAGAACACCGAUAGCGUAGGCAGGCUACUGGGACAUUUCUGACACUAAGGCACGAAAGCGUAGGGAGCAAACGGGAUUAGAUACCCCGGUAGUCUACGCCGUAAACGAUGGAUACUA